AUCCUAAAGAAACAAAAUAAACCAUUAAUUUGUUAAGCAAUUUAUUUAUAGGGAAUAAAUUGAUGUACUUGUAAAUUGGGAUAUAAUAUUUGUAUGUUGCUUCAUUAAAUGUUAGUGGGUCUGUUUUAUACUAAGAACUAAGAAGUAUUAUUUCUUUGAUUGGGAAUAAAUCAAUCCUUUUUAGUUUGAUACUGUUGUUGACGAGGGGCUUAUUUGAUAUUGUUGUUGCUACGACUGUAUGUUAGAAGCCAUCUUGCCUGGUUUUGUUAAAAGCUACUAAAAAUUUCCUUUAAGAUGCAUAAAGCAGUGCCCCUAUAAAGCAAUGUUUUUAGUUUUACUUUGAUAUACUUAACUGAAAAGGGAGAACCAAAUGAAGGAUGCAGCAUGUUCUACAAACUCCACAAAUUGACUAUAAUGAUCAAGCCAAAUAGAUUAAUAGAAGAUACCUAGUUAAAGGUUUUUCAUCAAGACAAUUUUAAGUAAUAACCCAUAAAACAUCUGGUCAAACAUCCUCUUUAUAACCACAUGAACAAGCUGUGAAGAUUUGUGUCAGAGGUUUACAGCUCUGAAUUUUUUGUGUUAGUCCUUUCUUGGCUAGCAUUCCAAGUGUCUCAUCUUUAUAAUCCCUCUAUGCUAUUGUGUUGGAUCUGCUGUUUUACCUCUGGUACCGAUCAGAUAACGAUUAUUUUAUUUACUGUAGGAGCCUUCUUAUUGUUCUCAAGUUAGUAUGAAGUGCCAAGCUAAAGAAUGUUUAUUAUGAAGUUUUUUUAACAAAUUCCCCAUUUAAUAAUGUGAAUUUUGUGUUGCAAAUGGUCUUAUUUUCAUCUUUGCUUAUAAUUGUUUAUUAGGAUGUAAUCCUUAUUGCCACUAGGAGGAUAUUAAGGCCUCCA
rnacentral:misc_RNA from 1 species